rnacentral:rRNA from 1 species
CCGCGUCCAAGUCCCUUGGAACAGGGUAUCAAAGAGGGUGACAAUCCCGUACUUGACGCGACGACCGGUGCUCUGUGAUACGUUCUCUACGAGUCGAGUUGUUUGGGAAUGCAGCUCAAAACGGGUGGUGAAUUCCAUCUAAGGCUAAAUAUUGGCGAGAGACCGAUAGCGAACAAGUACCGUGAGGGAAAGAUGAAAAGCACUUUGGAAAGAGAGUUAAACAGUAUGUGAAAUUGUUGAAAGGGAAACGAUUGAAGUCAGUCGUGACCUUGGGAUUCAGCCGGCCCCGCCGGUGUAUUUCUCAAGGUCGGGUCAACAUCAGUUUCGAUCGGCGGAUAAUGGCUGCUGGAACGUAGCUCCCUCGGGAGUGUUAUAGCCUGCUGUCGCAUACGCCGGUCGAGACUGAGGAAUGCAGCUCGCCGAAAGGCCGGGGUUCGCCCACGUCCGAGCUUAGG